rnacentral:rRNA from 1 species
GAUGAACGCUGGCGGCGUGCCUAACACAUGCAAGUCGAACGGAGUCCAGCCUUUAAGACCUUCGGGUCAAAGAGGGGAAGACUGAGUGGCGGACGGGUGAGUAACACGUGGGCAACCUGGCUCAUAGAGGGGGAUAACAGAGAGAAAUUUCUGCUAAUACCGCAUAAGCACACACUGCCGCAUGGCAGAGGGUGAAAAGAGAAUCGCUAUGAGAUGGACCCGCGUCUGAUUAGCCAGUUGGCAGGGUAAGAGCCUACCAAAGCGACGAUCAGUAGCCGAUCGGGAGGGAUGAACGGCCAAAUUGGGACUGAGACACGGCCAAAACCCCUACGGGAGGCAGCAGGGGGGGAUAUUGCAAAAUGGGGGGAACCCUGAUGCAGCGACGCCGGGGGAGGAAAGAAUUAUUUCGGUAUUAAAAGCUCUAUCAGCAGGGAAGAUAAUGACAGUACCUGAAAAAGAAGCCCCGGCUAACUACGU